GCAGUGGAAACAGUUGUCCCAGGGUCCAACCCGGUCAAUUUGGAAAUCAACAUAUGUCCAGAGUGGGUUUUCUGGAAAAGGCUUCCAGCUGUUCCACAUCUGAACUUCACCUCCACUGGGGGAUAAUAUUUUGGCCAAGCUGCAUCCAGUUGAAGUACUGGGUCUAACCAGUGAUGCAGAAAUAGAAUCUAGUCUAAUCUCCAUUUCUUUCUUCCUCCUUGUACUAACAUUAUUAACUUUCUUUUCUUGGGAUUUGGCUAAUUUCAUACAGGAAGUCAAUGUUUCAUCUUCAUCUUCUGAAUGGUAAAGAAAAAUAAGAGCAAAAUGGAUUGAAUCCAGAGCCAUCUAUAAAGGAAGCACCCCUGCUCAAGAAAACUCAGAAUUCAGAAAUACUUCUCUGCCUGCUUCUGCCUCAUUCUUUCCAUCGAACAGCUGAUAAAUGACAUCAAAAUAGAUACUGCAUUUUUUAAAAGAUAUUUUCUAAGAAGACCGACCUGUAAAUUAAACUUACCAUUCAACCAAUCAACAAACUUUUAUUGAGCACCUACUAUAUGUCAAACACUAUCACACUUUCUGGGAAUACGGCAUUGAGCAAGAGGUCCUGGUAAGGAAUGGGGAACUAACAAGCUACCACCAACGGGAAGAAUUCGGGAAAGGUCAAAAGGAGAGAGGAGACUCUAGUCCAGAUGUCCUACCAACUUCCCAGAAUCCUUCUCACUGGAAUCAGUCUUGGCUGAGUGACCAGGAAGUACCUUGGGUCAGAGUGAUUGGCCAGAGACAACCCGUAAACUAACACAAUUACCAUAAAACCUGAGACUGCAAGCCACGUGGCAGAGUUCUCCUGGGUUCCUUACCCUGCUGUUCUCUGCCCGGGUGCCCCUUCCCAAUAAAGUCUCUUGUUUUGUCAA